rnacentral:lncRNA from 1 species
GGAGUUGGCGGCGGGGCCCAGCCGAGGUAUAAGUUCCACAGCUUCACCCUUGUCGGUGUGAUAUGGGCGUGAAAGAAGACAUAAAACAGGCUUCCCGAGUAGAACCUGCCACCCCGGGCUGGUGGGGACGCGGCACCAGGCCGGGCCGGGGGAAGCCGCUCGGACAGUGGUCCUUGGAAUCUUCUUCCCUUCUGGUCUGACUAGGAAAGCCAGAGGGAGAUGGUGAAGGAGACACAGAGAGAGUAAAAGAACAGACCAUGCCCAGCCUCUCCACUGCAGGAGCUUGGAAUCAGUGAAGCAGAGUUGCCAGCCAUCUAUGGAUCCUAACUAAAUUGGUCCUUGUAAUACUCGGUAUUAUUUGCCAAGAUAUUGAAAAACCUCUAAACAGUGAGAAGCUCCCAGCCCCUUUUCUGUGUCUCUCAUCACCAGCUGCUGUGCCCUGAGGACACCCAGGCAGCCUAAGGAGAGGCCCACAGGUGAGAAACUGCAUGUGUGAGCUGAGCUUGGAAGUGGAUCUUCUAUGUUUUGCCAACAGCCACGUGACUAGUUUUGGAAGCAGAUUCUCCAGCCCCAGCUGCACCUGUGCCAGAGGCACCCAUUAAGCCGCACCUAGUUAAAUUCCUGACCCACAAAGACUUUGAAAUCAUAAAUGUUUGUUGUUUUAAGCUGCUAAGUUUUGAAGUAAUCUGCCAUGUAGCAACAUGAAACUACUUGGACCAAAUAUGUGUUUUUCUAAGCACAGGAAUAUUCACACUUUAUUAAACUUGAGUAUUCCAACAAUAGGAUGGAAGUCCAAGUUUUAUUUCUUUGCUGGGACCCUCACAUGCAUGUAUCACAUAUGUAUCAUUAAAAAAUGAAGGACAAAUCUAAUCAGGGGAUGACUUUAUAUUGA